UAGUAACGGCGAGUGAAGCGGCAACAGCUCAAAUUUGAAAUCUGGCCCUCGUGGUCCGAGUUGUAAUUUGUAGAGGAUGCUUUUGGUUAGGUGCCUUCCGAGUUCCCUGGAACGGGACGCCAUAGAGGGUGAGAGCCCCGUCUGGUUGGAUACCGAGCCUCUGUAAAGCUCCUUCGACGAGUCGAGUAGUUUGGGAAUGCUGCUCUAAAUGGGAGGUAUAUGUCUUCUAAAGCUAAAUAUUGGCCAGAGACCGAUAGCGCACAAGUAGAGUGAUCGAAAGAUGAAAAGCACUUUGAAAAGAGGGUUAAAAAGUACGUGAAAUUGUUGAAAGGGAAGCGCUUGUGACCAGACUUGGGCCCGGUCAAUCAUCCAGGGUUCUCCCUGGUGCACUUGGCCGGCCCAGGCCAGCAUCAGUUUGUCGCGGGGGAUAAAGGCGUUGGGAAUGUGGCUCCUCCGGGAGUGUUAUAGCCCUUCGUGUAAUACCCUGCUUCGGACUGAGGUUCGCGCAUCUGCAAGGAUGCUGGCGUAAUGGUCAUCAGCGACCCGUCUUGAAACACGGACCAAGGAGUCGUCUUCGUAUGCGAGUGUUCGGGUGUCAAACCCCUACGCGUAAUGAAAGUGAACGCAGGUGAGAGCUUCGGCGCAUCAUCGACCGAUCCUGAUGUUCUCGGAUGGAUUUGAGUAAGAGCAUACGGGGCCGGACCCGAAAGAAGGUGAACUAUGCCUGUAUAGGGUGAAGCCAGAGGAAACUCUGGUGGAGGCUCGCAGCGGUUCUGACGUGCAAAUCGAUCGUCAAAUAUGGGCAUGGGGGCGAAAGACUAAUCGAACCUUCUAGUAGCUGGUUUCCGCCGAA
rnacentral:rRNA from 1 species